UUGCCUACGGGAGGCAGCAGUGAGGAAUAUUGGUCAAUGGGCGAUAGCCUGAACCAGCCAAGUCGCGUGAGGGAAGACGGCCCUAUGGGUUGUAAACCUCUUUUGUCGGGGAGCAAGGUCGCUACGUGUAGCGAUUUGAGAGUACCCGAAGAAAAAGCAUCGGCUAACUCCGUGCCAGCAGCCGCGGUAAUACGGAGGAUGCGAGCGUUAUCCGGAUUUAUUGGGUUUAAAGGGUGCGUAGGCGGUCGGAUAAGUUAGAGGUGAAAUCCCGAGGCUCAACUUCGGAAUUGCCUCUGAUACUGUUG
rnacentral:rRNA from 1 species